UCCAGAGCUGCUGUAUGGUGGUGAAUGAGCUACAGACACAGAGAAGAUGAGCAUGGCCCCUGCACAAGAAUGACACAAAUUCUUGCAGCUUCCCAGAUUUUU